rnacentral:piRNA from 1 species
UAAGAGAUUUUUAAUUUGGUGGAAAUUGA